rnacentral:rRNA from 1 species
GAUGAACGCUGGCGGCGUGCCUAAUACAUGCAAGUCGAGCGAACAGAUGAGGAGCUUGCUCCUCUGACGUUAGCGACGGACGGGUGAGUAACACGUGGAUAACCUACCUAUAAGACUGGGAUAACUUCGGGAAACCGGAGCUAAUACCGGAUAAUAUAUUGAACGGCAUGGUUCAAUAGUGAAAGACGGUUUUGCUGUCACUUAUAGAUGGAUCCGCGCCGCAUUAGCUAGUUGGUAAGGUAACGGCCUACCAAGGCAACGAUGCGUAGCCGACCUGAGAGGGUGACCGGCCACACUGGAACUGAGACACGGCCCAGACUCCUACGGGAGGCAGCAGUAGGGAAUUUUCGGCAAUGGGCGAAAGCCUGACGGAGCAACGCCGCGUGAGUGAUGAAGGUCUUCGGAUUGUAAAACUCUGUUAUCAGGGAAGAAAAAAUGUGUAAGUAUCUAUGCACGUCUUGACGGUACCUAAACAGAAAGCCACGGCUAACUACGUG